rnacentral:rRNA from 1 species
AUUGAACGCUGGCGGCAUGCCUUACACAUGCAAGUCGAACGGUAACAGGUCUUCGGAUGCUGACGAGUGGCGAACGGGUGAGUAAUACAUCGGAACGUGCCUAGUAGUGGGGGAUAACUACUCGAAAGAGUGGCUAAUACCGCAUGAGAUCUACGGAGGAAAGCAGGGGAUCGCAAGAACUUGUGCUACUAGAGCGGCCGAUGGCAGAUUAGGUAGUUGGUGGGAUAAAAGCUUACCAAGCCGACGAUCUGUAGCUGGUCUGAGAGGACGAUCAGCCACACUGGGACUGAGACACGGCCCAGACUCCUACGGGAGGCAGCAGUGGGGAAUUUUGGGCAAUGGGCGCAAGCCUGAUCCAGCAAUGCCGCGUGCAGGAUGAAGGCCUUCGGGUUGUAAACUGCUUUUGUACGGAACGAAAAGCCCCGGGUUAAUACCCUGGGGUCAUGACGGUACCGUAAGAAUAAGCACCGGCUAACUACGUGCCAGCCGCCGCGGUAA